rnacentral:rRNA from 1 species
GACGAACGCUGGCGGCGUGCUUAACACAUGCAAGUCGAACGGUAAGGCCCUUCGGGGUACACGAGUGGCGAACGGGUGAGUAACACGUGGGUGAUCUGCCCUGCACUUCGGGAUAACCCAGGGAAACCUGGGCUAAUACCGGAUAAGUAAACCUGUGGCAUCACAUGGUUUUGGAAAGUUUUUCGAUUAAGGAUGGAUGCGCGGCCUAUCAGCUUGUUGGUGAGGUAAUGGCUCACCAAGGCGACGACGGGUAGCCGGCCUGAGAGGGUGAACGGCCACACUGGGACUGAGACACGGCCCAGACUCCUACGGGAGGCAGCAGUGGGGAAUAUUGCGCAAUGGACGAAAGUCUGACGCAGCGACGCCUCGUGAGGGACGAAGGUCUUCGGAUUGUAAACCUCUUUCAGCAGGGACGAAGCGAAAGUGACGGUACCUGCAGAAGAAGCACCGGCUAACUAUGUGCCAGCCGCCGCCGUAA